UCUCCUGGAAACGGGUGGUAAUGCCGGAUGUUCCAGUUGAUCGCAUGGUCUUCUGGGAAAGCUUUCGCGGUAUGGGAUGGGGUCGCGUCCUAUCAGCUUGACGGCGGGGUAACGGCCCACCGUGGCUUCGACGGGUAGCCGGCCUGAGAGGGCGACCGGCCACAUUGGGACUGAGAUACGGCCCAGACUCCUACGGGAGGCAGCAGUGGGGAAUAUUGCACAAUGGGCGCAAGCCUGAUGCAGCGACGCCGCGUGAGGGAUGGAGGCCUUCGGGUUGUAAACCUCUUUUAUCGGGGAGCAAGCGUGAGUGAGUUUACCCGUUGAAUAAGCACCGGCUAACUACGUGCCAGCAGCCGCGGUAAUACGUAGGGUGCAAGCGUUAUCCGGAAUUAUUGGGCGUAAAGGGCUCGUAGGCGGUUCGUCGCGUCCGGUGUGAAAGUCCAUCGCUUAACGGUGGAUCCGCGCCGGGUACGGGCGGGCUUGAGUGCGGUAGGGGAGACUGGAAUUCCCGGUGUAACGGUGGAAUGUGUAGAUAUCGGGAAAGAACACCA
rnacentral:rRNA from 1 species